rnacentral:rRNA from 1 species
UACGUAGGUGGCAAGCGUUGUCCGGAAUUAUUGGGCGUAAAGCGCGCGCAGGCGGUCCUUUAAGUCUGAUGUGAAAGCCCACGGCUCAACCGUGGGGGGUCAUUGGAAACUGGGGGACUUGAGUGCAGAAGAAGAAAGCGGAAUUCCACGUGUAGCGGUGAGAUGCGUAGAGAUGUGGAGGAACACCAGUGGCGAAGGCGGCUUUCUGGUCUGUAACUGACGCUGAGGCGCGAAAGCGUGGGGAGCAAACAGG